AGCACUUUGUAUGUGUGUUUGUUCAACUGGCGGACAAAGGCAUGAAAGAUAGGUGUAAAAAUAAAUCCCCUUUUGCAGCCCAGAAAUCAUUUUUCACUAUGAAUUUUGAUAUAUAUAAGGAAUAUG
ensembl:snoRNA